UUUGAUCCUGGCUCAGGACGAACGCUGGCGGCGUGCUUAACACAUGCAAGUCGAGCGGAAAGGCCCUUCGGGGUACUCGAGCGGCGAACGGGUGAGUAACACGUGAGUAAUCUGCCCCAGGCUCUGGGAUAGCCACCGGAAACGGUGAUUAAUACCGGAUACGACAACCGAUUGCAUGAUCUGGUUGUGGAAAGUUUUUCGGCCUGGGAUGUGCUCGCGGCCUAUCAGCUUGUUGGUGAGGUAAUGGCUCACCAAGGCUUCGACGGGUAGCCGGCCUGAGAGGGUGACCGGCCACACUGGGACUGAGACACGGCCCAGACUCCUACGGGAGGCAGCAGUGGGGAAUAUUGGACAAUGGGCGGAAGCCUGAUCCAGCAACGCCGCGUGAGGGAUGACGGCCUUCGGGUUGUAAACCUCUUUCAGCACAGACGAAGCGCAAGUGACGGUAUGUGCAGAAGAAGGACCGGCCAACUACGUGCCAGCAGCCGCGGUAAUACGUAGGGUCCGAGCGUUGUCCGGAAUUAUUGGGCGUAAAGGGCUCGUAGGCGGUCUGUCGCGUCGGGAGUGAAAACCAGGUGCUUAACACCUGGCCUGCUUUCGAUACGGGCAGACUAGAGGUACUCAGGGGAGAAUGGAAUUCCUGGUGUAGCGGUGAAAUGCGCAGAUAUCAGGAGGAACACCGG
rnacentral:rRNA from 1 species